GAUGAAGAACGUAGUGAAAUGCGAUAAGUAAUGUGAAUUGCAGAAUUCAGUGAAUCAUCGAAUCUUUGAACGCACCUUGCGCUCUUUGGUAUUCCGAAGAGCAUGCCUGUUUGAGUGUCAUGAAAAUAUCAACCUUGACUUGGGUUUUGUGCUCUAGUCUCCGCUUGGAAUUGGGUGCUUGCCGCUUUUACGAGCGGCUCACCUUAAAUGUAUUAGCUGGAUCUGUCUUUGAGACUUGGUUUGACUUGGCGUAAUAAGUAUUUCGCUAAGGACAUUCUUCGGAGUGGCCUCGUUUCUAGGACGCUUGUCCGCUUUCCAAUACAAGUUCCACCUCGUGGACAUGACUUUUUAUUAUCUGGCCUCAAAUCAGGUAGGACUACCCGCUGAACUUAAGCAUAUCAAUAAGCGGAGGA
rnacentral:misc_RNA from 1 species